rnacentral:rRNA from 1 species
UACGUAGGGUGCGAGCGUUGUCCGGAAUUACUGGGCGUAAAGAGCUCGUAGGUGGUUUGUCGCGUUGUUCGUGAAAACUCACAGCUUAACUGUGGGCGUGCGGGCGAUACGGGCAGACUGGAGUACUGCAGGGGAGACUGGAAUUCCUGGUGUAGCGGUGGAAUGCGCAGAUAUCAGGAGGAACACCGGUGGCGAAGGCGGCUCUCUGGACCGUAACUGACGCUGAGGCGCGAAAGCGUGGGGAGCAAACAGG